GCCCGAUCUUUCUCCUUGAUCUUCUUCUUUUCCUCUUCUCUAGAGUUUCUUCUUACUUUGUGCUACUACAAAAUACCAGCAAUCAGUAAAUUAUGGGAUGCCCAAUACCUUGAGCGUGGAACUCCUUGGGACUCGCAUCCCAAGGGAUGGGCAUGUAGAAUACCCAAGAGAAGAGAAAGGGAGAGGAAGAGAGGGCAUGGGGAGAGCCUUUGGGCAUGAGAAACUACUCAUUUUUAUACUCU
rnacentral:lncRNA from 1 species